rnacentral:tRNA from 1 species
GGCCCUAUCGUCUAGCGGUCUAGGACGUGGCCCUUUCAAGGCCAAAACUCGGGUUCGAUUCCCGAUAGGGUCA